rnacentral:rRNA from 1 species
UUAAGCGACUAAGCGUACACGGUGGAUGCCCUGGCAGUCAGAGGCGAUGAAGGACGUGCUAAUCUGCGAUAAGCGUCGGUAAGGUGAUAUGAACCGUUAUAACCGGCGAUUUCCGAAUGGGGAAACCCAGUGUGUUUCGACACACUAUCAUUAACUGAAUCCAUAGGUUAAUGAGGCGAACCGGGGGAACUGAAACAUCUAAGUACCCCGAGGAAAAGAAAUCAACCGAGAUUCCCCCAGUAGCGGCGAGCGAACGGGGAGCAGCCCAGAGCCUGAAUCAGUGUGUGUGUUAGUGGAAGCGUCUGGAAAGGCGCGCGAUACAGGGUGACAGCCCCGUACACAAAAAUGCACAUGCUGUGAGCUCGAUGAGUAGGGCGGGACACGUGGUAUCCUGUCUGAAUAUGGGGGGACCAUCCUCCAAGGCUAAAUACUCCUGACUGACCGAUAGUGAACCAGUACCGUGAGGGAAAGGCGAAAAGAACCCCGGCGAGGGGAGUGAAAAAGAACCUGAAACCGUGUACGUACAAGCAGUGGGAGCACGCUUCGGCGUGUGACUGCGUACCUUUUGUAUAAUGGGUCAGCGACUUAUAUUCUGUAGCAAGGUUAACCGAAUAGGGGAGCCGAAGGGAAACCGAGUCUUAACUGGGCGUUAAGUUGCAGGGUAUAGACCCGAAACCCGGUGAUCUAGCCAUGGGCAGGUUGAAGGUUGGGUAACACUAACUGGAGGACCGAACCGACUAAUGUUGAAAAAUUAGCGGAUGACUUGUGGCUGGGGGUGAAAGGCCAAUCAAACCGGGAGAUAGCUGGUUCUCCCCGAAAGCUAUUUAGGUAGCGCCUCGUGAAUUCAUCUCCGGGGGUAGAGCACUGUUUCGGCAAGGGGGUCAUCCCGACUUACCAACCCGAUGCAAACUGCGAAUACCGGAGAAUGUUAUCACGGGAGACACACGGCGGGUGCUAACGUCCGUCGUGAAGAGGGAAACAACCCAGACCGCCAGCUAAGGUCCCAAAGUCAUGGUUAAGUGGGAAACGAUGUGGGAAGGCCCAGACAGCCAGGAUGUUGGCUUAGAAGCAGCCAUCAUUUAAAGAAAGCGUAAUAGCUCACUGGUCGAGUCGGCCUGCGCGGAAGAUGUAACGGGGCUAAACCAUGCACCGAAGCUGCGGCAGCGACGCUGAUGCGUUGUUGGGUAGGGGAGCGUUCUGUAAGCCUGCGAAGGUGUGCUGUGAGGCAUGCUGGAGGUAUCAGAAGUGCGAAUGCUGACAUAAGUAACGAUAAAGCGGGUGAAAAGCCCGCUCGCCGGAAGACCAAGGGUUCCUGUCCAACGUUAAUCGGGGCAGGGUGAGUCGACCCCUAAGGCGAGGCCGAAAGGCGUAGUCGAUGGGAAACAGGUUAAUAUUCCUGUACUUGGUGUUACUGCGAAGGGGGGACGGAGAAGGCUAUGUUGGCCGGGCGACGGUUGUCCCGGUUUAAGCGUGUAGGCUGGUUUUCCAGGCAAAUCCGGAAAAUCAAGGCUGAGGCGUGAUGACGAGGCACUACGGUGCUGAAGCAACAAAUGCCCUGCUUCCAGGAAAAGCCUCUAAGCAUCAGGUAACAUCAAAUCGUACCCCAAACCGACACAGGUGGUCAGGUAGAGAAUACCAAGGCGCUUGAGAGAACUCGGGUGAAGGAACUAGGCAAAAUGGUGCCGUAACUUCGGGAGAAGGCACGCUGAUAUGUAGGUGAAGUCCCUUGCGGAUGGAGCUGAAAUCAGUCGAAGAUACCAGCUGGCUGCAACUGUUUAUUAAAAACACAGCACUGUGCAAACACGAAAGUGGACGUAUACGGUGUGACGCCUGCCCGGUGCCGGAAGGUUAAUUGAUGGGGUCAGCGCAAGCGAAGCUCUUGAUCGAAGCCCCGGUAAACGGCGGCCGUAACUAUAACGGUCCUAAGGUAGCGAAAUUCCUUGUCGGGUAAGUUCCGACCUGCACGAAUGGCGUAAUGAUGGCCAGGCUGUCUCCACCCGAGACUCAGUGAAAUUGAACUCGCUGUGAAGAUGCAGUGUACCCGCGGCAAGACGGAAAGACCCCGUGAACCUUUACUAUAGCUUGACACUGAACAUUGAGCCUUAAUGUGUAGGAUAGGUGGGAGGCUUUGAAGUGUGGACGCCAGUCUGCAUGGAGCCGACCUUGAAAUACCACCCUUUAAUGUUUGAUGUUCUAACGUUGACCCGUAAUCCGGGUUGCGGACAGUGUCUGGUGGGUAGUUUGACUGGGGCGGUCUCCUCCUAAAGAGUAACGGAGGAGCACGAAGGUUGGCUAAUCCUGGUCGGACAUCAGGAGGUUAGUGCAAUGGCAUAAGCCAGCUUGACUGCGAGCGUGACGGCGCGAGCAGGUGCGAAAGCAGGUCAUAGUGAUCCGGUGGUUCUGAAUGGAAGGGCCAUCGCUCAACGGAUAAAAGGUACUCCGGGGAUAACAGGCUGAUACCGCCCAAGAGUUCAUAUCGACGGCGGUGUUUGGCACCUCGAUGUCGGCUCAUCACAUCCUGGGGCUGAAGUAGGUCCCAAGGGUAUGGCUGUUCGCCAUUUAAAGUGGUACGCGAGCUGGGUUUAGAACGUCGUGAGACAGUUCGGUCCCUAUCUGCCGUGGGCGCUGGAGAACUGAGGGGGGCUGCUCCUAGUACGAGAGGACCGGAGUGGACGCAUCACUGGUGUUCGGGUUGUCAUGCCAAUGGCACUGCCCGGUAGCUAAAUGCGGAAGAGAUAAGUGCUGAAAGCAUCUAAGCACGAAACUUGCCCCGAGAUGAGUUCUCCCUGACCCUUUAAGGGUCCUGAAGGAACGUUGAAGACGACGACGUUGAUAGGCCGGGUGUGUAAGCGCAGCGAUGCGUUGAGCUAACCGGUACUAAUGAACCGUGAGGCUUAACCUU